GACCUACAAAAAAGCCAUCACUUCGCUCAUCAGAAAGGCCUGAAUAGAAUGUUGAGACAAUACCGCUGAUUUUACUCCCGAAAGCUGAGGAACAAAUACCUAGGUGGAGAAUAAAAUUACUUGCCAUCAGCUUUCCUGAAAUAUUAUUGCCUUAAGUAAUUCAGGUCUAUCUGGUUCGAUACCUGAUACUCUGUAUUUACUGACUGAAUUGGGAUACCUAAAUCUUAUUAACAACAAAUGAAAUUAUCAAUUUAACUAAGUUCAGAGAUUUAGAAAUGCAAGGGAAUGAAUUUGAGAGUGACAUUCCUAAUUUGUCAUCUAACAAAUUUGGUGUAUAUGAACAUUGGCUCAACGAAACAUACUUUGUAAAGUGUGGU